UGAUAAGAUGGGUACAAGUAGUGAGACUGAUAAGAGAUACGAGGGAAGUCGGGAGGAAGGAGGGUACAUGUACCGAUAUCGUAUCAUCAAACAUGUUCUAGAAUAAAGAAACAAUUUCCUUAGAGGAACAAUGGCUUAAAAUUGUUCACAGCUAAGUAGUUAUUAAGAAGAGGGGAAAGUUGAGGAAAGGAAAUGAAUUCCAGACGAAGACAAAAAAAUUCUGGACAUUUGAAAGGCAGAGAGAUGAAAUAAUGAAAAUGUUUAUUUUUCCUGAGUAUGUUAACACAGAUGAAGAAUUAACGACAUAUGAAGAACUUAACAAUGCGGAAAUUGUCGCAGAUGUGAAAGGAAACGAGUGCGAGAGAAUAAAGAGAAUGAUUUUGAAACCGAGGAAGAACCGUUUUUAAUGAGCAUAAAUGUCAACAAUGCGUUUUAUGUUACCCAUCAUUAUACUAAAAGCUGUAGGCAUGUACUCUUUGAAUGUGUAUGCUUCGUGCAUUAUACAGAUUAACUUAUUUCUGAAGGCGUUUCAAGCGUGCCAAAAAUACUAUAAAAAAAUGUCUGAAAGA